UACGUAGGGUGCAAGCGUUGUCCGGAAUUAUUGGGCGUAAAGAGCUCGUAGGCGGUUUGUCGCGUCUGCUGUGAAAAUCCAGGGCUCAACCCUGGACCUGCAGUGGGUACGGGCAGACUAGAGUGCGGUAGGGGAGAUCGGAAUUCCUGGUGUAGCGGUGAAAUGCGCAGAUAUCAGGAGGAAUACCGGUGGUGUAGACGGCUCGUCUGGACCGCAACUGACGCUGAGACACGAAAGCGUGGGUAGCAAACAGG
rnacentral:rRNA from 1 species